GUAGCUCAUUGGUAGAGCAUCUGUUUUGGAUGCAGAAGGUCCUAGGUUCAAUCCCUGGAAACUCCA